rnacentral:lncRNA from 1 species
UAUAAGAUAGAAUGAUGAACUAGAGCAUACUUGACAUUUGCUACACUCUAGUGGCAAUAUGCAAAGAGUUCUAUGGGCUCAUUGGAAAUCAUCAGGUGGCCUUGACCCACUUUGGACAGAGUGUUUUCCUCCUCACCAUCUGCAACUCUAAACCAAAACCUGACCCUAGAUGACACUUCUUGUAUCACCAAGUUCCUAAUUCAAUCUCUUUUUAAA